UGAAAAGAGAAGAAAGAAAACACAACGUUUUGGCUGUCCACAGUUUAUUACAAGCAUCACGAGACUCACAGCUGCCAGCUCCAAAGUUUUAUGGUGUUGGGAAUUUGAUUCUGGGAGACAGGCCUGGAGCCCAUCUGGGUUCCGCAGCGAUUCCUCGAGACAAUGGAUCACCCGGCUUUGGACCUUGAACUUCGCCCCAUAUUUCCCACCUGGACUCCUUGGAUUUGUCUGCCUUGGCCACGCCCCCCGAGCACCAGUUCACUGUCAUCACGCCCCCCUUCUGUCAACCUGCCCUGAUCCUCAUCAUCUCCUCCCCGUUGUCCUACUCCACUUGCUUCCGGAUUAUAUCUUCUGCAUAGGGUCCUGAACUACUCUUCAUGGGAUCCUGGACCGGCUCCCGUUACAAUAAAUGGAGUGACAUAGCCAUAGGGGCCAACAACCGGGGAACUACAAAUGGCUGUGAUCUGUAAUGCUCUUCAGGCACAUACUAACUGUCGACAGGACACCAUAGCUUGGAAAUAGCUAAGCACUUUGGAAUUUGUUACUCCUUCUUCAACCACAGCAUUUAGAAUAACCACUUCAAGAAACACACUUCAUUGGUGAAACCCAGUUAGUUUUGCUUCUUGUAAGCAUCUAUCAACACCUCUUUGUUGCCACUUCUGGUGAAGAAAAAUAUAACAUUAUGACAAUGUGCAUUACAUACAAAUAAGAAAGAAUUUUUUUUUGCAGGCAUGAAUGCAGGCAAUGCAUUCAUCAGGCCAUAAUUUUUACAUUGGUGCACAUUUGUGCAGAAAGCAAACUCAUAGCCUUCAAACAAUGUUUGGUGCAGGACUAUAAUAACACAAAGAAUAACUCUGAACUUACAGUACCUCUUGCAGAAAGGUUUGUGUUGUCUGUCAGAGUAGCAGGCUAGAAACAGACAAGAGAAAGACUAGUAAACAGUUAUAGUUACAGCGUUAGUGUUUUGAAUCUGCAGCUAAUCUCACUCACCUAUGUCGAAAAACACGUGGCCACAGUAGCCUGUCCUAGGAAACUAUUGGCAUAGGUAGGGAUACACCCUGGACGGAAUGCCAGUCCAUCACAAGGAACACACCGACACAAACACAAAUAACACAUACACCAGGGCCUAUUUCACAGAAGCCAAUUAACCUACCAGCAUGUGUUUUGGACUGUGGGAGGAAACCAUAGUACACGGAAGAAAUCUGAGUGAUCAUGGGGAGAACAUACAAACUCCAUAUGGGUAGCACUCCUGGAAUUGAACCGAGGACCCAAACACCAUGAGGUACUGUAGAAAUGCUAACUGUUGAGCCAGCGUGCUUUCCCCCAGAGUUGCAAUAUUUUCAUAUAUACAGUAAAUGUUUUCAAGGAUGUCUAAAAAAACACAAAUGGGGCAUUUGCGAGGAAAGAAUGGCUGUUCUUUGUAUAUUGCUAUUGCUGUUUUGGGAAUUUGUAUGUAAAAGAGCUGUACGUCUUUAAAAGGCCUGUGGAAGGUAACAAGAAGGGAGGGGCUUCCAAAAUAAAAGGCAGAGUCCUUAUACUGCUGGUUCAGUUUUUUAUUACUGUAAGAUCAAAAAGAGAGAAAGAAGCUCAGGGCUCCCUUAUGAACAUUUUUCUAAAAAGAGACAAGCUGCUAUCCAGGGACAUUCAGGUUCUCUUUGAGAUUGGUGGAGAGCUUUUUAUUUCUUUGAGUCUCUUUUUGUCAUUGCCUUUGAAUGUUUUCUGGCAGCUAUUCUAUGAAUAAACUACAACUCAAUAUAUACUGUAAAGGUGCUGCUGAGUCUGGCUUUUGUUUUACGUGGAAGCCGGGUAUCUGCUCAGUACAAAGGGGGGCCCUGUUACAUACUGUACAUAGGAGAGCAAAUACUGCCGUAACAAUCUUUAAAGUGAUUUCAACCCAGCAAUUUAAAUGGGUUUGAGUCAUGGAGAGCCAGAGGGUUUCUGGUCCACCUGAGCCUUUCAUUAUUUCCUUGAACUCAUUACUUGCUUAAUUGGACACAUUGAAGUGUUUUUUGUAAGAAGCUAUAGUUGUGAAAAGAUCAAAACCUGCUGGACAGCAGCCCUCAAGGACAGGAGGGCACCCCUUAUUUACUAAGUGCUGGCAGUUUUCCUAGUCCAUCUUCUUCAGUUCCUCUCUUUACCCCAUCUUCUUUCUUCUGACUACACACCUAAAUAGUGUAAGCACUCCAGGUUGCCUCACUGCUGUAUGUGCAUUUCUUCUGAAAUAUUAGGUUUCUUUUUAGGUGCUGUGUAAAUUACAGCUUCUGAGGAACCAGCUGCUUUGCCAGUAAGUAAAGUAGUUAACGGCUGGCCUCAUUAAACUUCUGAACCAGUCUGGUACCAGACCUCACACACAGAGGCAGGCUCUUCAGUACACCCUACUGCUAAGUCCACAGAUUGCCUCAUGUUGCUUGGAGACCCUGAGCAGCACAGGUGGCAUGAGCAUAUUUGCCAGGAGGGAGGGUGAAACAGUGGCAAGGCUGGCAAGAGCACCAUCAAUUGGGAAGAGAAAAUGAUAUGUUAAAGCAGAACUCUUGAGGAUGCCUUCUGAAGGACUGUAAGGUUUAUUAUUGUCAAGGUCACAAAUCAAAGAACAAGUGAACAAGUGGAGCAGAAUGUUUUUUAUUUAUUUAGUGCUUGUUAUUUUUUCUUUCUUUUACUGAAUG